UACGGGGGGGGCAAGCGUUGUUCGGAAUUACUGGGCGUAAAGGGCUCGUAGGUGGCCAACUAAGUCAGACGUGAAAUCCCCCGGCUCAACCGGGGAACUGCACCUGAUACUGGCGUGCUCGAGGACAGUAGGGGUGAGUGGAACUCCAGGUGGAGCGGUGAAAUGCGUAGAUAUCUGGAGGAACACCGGUGGCGAAAGCGGCUCACUGGACCGUCUCUGACGCUGAGGUGCGAAAGCUAGGGUAGCAAACGGG
rnacentral:rRNA from 1 species